CAGAGUUCACUAACUUCCUCAAAGCCCACAACCAGUAAGUACAGGAGCUGGGGUGUAAAUUUCAUCAGUCCAACUUCAAAGCCUAUGCUUAGUCACUUACAUUAAAUACACAAGACACAUUUAAAUAAUGCUUCUAUUAUGUUCUAUUGCAAAAAACAGAAUUGCUUUUAUUAGGUUUCUCUGUACUUUAGAAUUGCCAAAAUCUUGCUAAUCUUCACUAAUUCCCCACAGCACACAACAUUGUCCUGGUCACCAUUGGUCAUCACUCGUGUUAAUUCAUAAGAAACAUUAUACUAGAAGUGUACUAACUAAAGAACAAGACACUUGAAUCAAUGGAUUGGCUGGUGUAUCUGUCAAUAAGUGUACCUGGCUAUGAAAGAAAAGUGGCGCAGGACUGAUCAAACACACACCUAGGAUAAGAAGUGGGUUUAUUGUCAGGAUCCUGACAAGGCUGCUCUGCACAGAGAGUGACAGCAGCUGCAAGGAGAGAGAGCAGCAGCAACUCCCCCCUUAAUGUUACCUUUUAUAGGCUAGAAUCACCGCUGCGCACUAGGGGCGGGUUUAGUCUUGACUGACAUAGUAAGCAUCCCCUGAUCUUGGGGAAAGCAAGUUUGUUUCUUGGGAACAGAGACAGACAGUUUUCCUAUCUCUCAGAGGGGGAACAAGAAAACCAGCAUGUCCCUUUAUCUUCUCAAGGAGAGAACAGGGAUUCCAGUACGUCCCCAUCUCAGAGGCCAGUAAGUUGUCUCCUAUCUCUCAAUGUGAGAACAGGGAGAGACCAGCACAUCUCCAGGCCGGUAGGUUUUAUCUGGGGCUAGUUUCUAUUUCUUGGGAAUAAGAACAGUAUUCAUAAAGUGGAGAUGGGGAAAAGGAAGAUGGCUGCAAUUAUGCUCACAGUCUAUGUCUUCCUCUCAUGUCUCUUUCUCCCACUCUCUCUCUCUCACUCUUUCACUCUCCCCACCCCUCCCUCUGUCUCUUGUCUGUAUGUCUCAACAUGUCUGUCUCCAUCUUAUUUCUCUUUGUCUCUUAAGUCUUACUGCCUCUGUUUUACCUUAUUACCUCUAAGUCUGUGGCUAUCUCUGUCUCUCUCACAUGCACACACAUGCACUCAAUUAAAUUUCAGAGCUGCAUAAUACUUCCAAGAUCUGAACAGAUUAAUAACCUUGAAUUAAUUUGAUAUCAUAAAGUAUUCCUACAGAAAGCCUGAAGUCCCCAGAGACUCAAGUUACCAGCUAAAGGACAAUAGUUGAUAAUGUGGGUUGGACAGAACUGAGUCCUUGCAAGCUUCAUGACCUAAUUAUAAGUCUAUCCAAACCACAGUUCCUUUGUAAAGUGGGUAGUGCUGAGACUAUCAUAUAGAGCUAUUGUGAGGAUCAAGUGCAAUAAUAAAUCUAAAGCUCUUAACACAGGGUCUAGUUAAUGCUAAACAGCUAGCAACAAUGCUAGUUACUAUUGUUACUGUUUUUUUACAGCAUCUUGUUUGCCAUUAGAUUCUCCACAUUUAGUGUAGUACAUGGCUCACACCUGGACCUCAGAAUUUGCUCAGAGAAACAAAAUACAAAGAGACAGAUGUGCCCAGACAUACAGAAAAACAUAAGACAGGCAAAAAGAGACACUGAAAGAAAGACAUGACAGAGUAUGGGAGAAACAUAUAGGUGUACAGAGUGUCAAACACGCCAAGCAGCCCACUAAGCAAUCUUUUGCUCUUUUGCUCUAAACUUUCUUUCACUAAUAUGGGUCCAGGACAAUGUUUCUUUACAUUUUUCUUGUGAAUCAAAAUGAAUGAUGAACAAUAAGAUCACAUUCUCCUUUUUGUAACCAAGCUUCCCAGGCUAUAGUGGGGAGCUUAGAAGUGGGGAGGGUAUGCUCACAUCCAACAUGAUAUCACAGAGGUAGUGAAUGGCUGGCUAAGGAGAGAGGCACCCCAGGAGCAGGCUGUCCUGACACUCUCUGAGUGAAUAGACCCCAUGACCCCAUGACCUUGAACUCUCACAGAGGCCUCCUCCUUAAUUGAUGAGAAGGAUUCUAUUGCUUUCCUCAGCAGAGCCACUGGACAAUGCCACAGGGACUUUCAACCACAACUAUAUAGGGCUAACUUUUAUCCCCAUGUCAAAGGGGAAAACAACCCAGUUCUCUCUGCUUGUGUUGGCCUUCAAUACAGUAUUUUCUGGUGCAGCUAUCAAUUGUGAGCUUUGUAACACCUGUCACAACACACUUUGGUAAAAUUGUGUAAGUAUGGAAGAGGUCACAUUUGGAACAGCAGGUCUUUAGGAAACAUGUGUUAAGCAAACUGAGGAAAAGAUAUUUCACAUGAUGUUAGAGGACAACAAAAUCAUAGGGAAAAGAGUUGAAGAACACCAGUGUUCUAAGGUUUAAAGUUUCUAAACUACUACUCACCCCACCCCACCCCUCACUGUAGUUCUUAAAUGGCAUGGGAGGAAAAGGGACAUUUCCAACAGGAUGUUAAACUGAUUUCGGUGAGGGGAGAAUGGGCUCUCUCUCCUGCAGUCAGCAGGCUGGAAUAGUGCCCUUCUCCCCUGAGGACAGAUUCUGCGCAACUCCAUUCACUCACAGCCACCUUCCUGCUCCUUCCUGUACCUCCAUGUGGCUGAAGCUGGCUGAUUUGGGCCAUAAGAUGUUGCCUAGUCACUGUUACAAAGCUCUUCUGAUCUCUAUGGAUCCAGAAGUUAUAAAAACCUGGGAACUCUCUUCUACCCUUCACAUCAAACCUACUUCACCAUGUCAGUCAACAAUAGUGUCAGUACCUUAAAGCUGAGCUGUAAUAGGAACCCUAAACUAUUGUAAAUCCUGAUAAGAUUGUCUUCCUAAUUUUUAAUUUCACUUCAAAAUUUCACUUAUUCUUCAGAAAAAAAGAAGCUUCCAAGGAACAAGCAGUUACUGGGCCUACCCACUUUAUCAGAGAUUCCCAAGAAAGUCAUUGAAGGCAACAGAUCUUUACUUUCACGUUUAAAGAAGUACAGCUAAUCCUGGAGUUGGAUGGUAGUUGCACAACAAUGUAAAUGUACUUAAUGCCACUGAGCUCUACACUUUAAAAUGGGUAAGGCAGUAAGCUUUUUGUUACAUAUAUUGUGCCAGAAUAUUUUUUAAUUAAAAAAGAAGGGCUAAGGCUAUGGCUCAGUGGUAGAGCACUCGUCUCACAUGUGUGAGGCACUGGGUUCAAUCCUCAGCACCACAUAAAAAUAAAUAAAAUAAAGGUAUUGUGUCCAUCUGCAACUAAAAAAAAAAAAUUUUUAAAGAAUUUUUUUUUUAAAUUGAAUGCAAUAUUUGUAAAGAAGUUCAGAUAAGUCACAGGGAACUUAACAAUCACCGGUGAUGAUGAUUUAAGGGAAUCUUUGUACUAUAGAAAGGUUACCAACUUCAAGAGUUUAUGAAAAUUAAAAGCAGAAAAAUAUAUGCCCUUAUCCUACAAAUGCCUUUAAAUCAAAAAUCAAUAUACUCUCUGUCAGGAUGAACCCAACUACAGUGUAUAACUAUAAAGCACUAAUAAAAAAAAAUCAAUAUACUCUCAUGGGUAUGAGUAUUGUUUAUAAAUAAGAUUUUCUAAAGAAUAUCACUAAGCUUUUCUUCAGAAACCGGUUCUUCCACAAUUGUAGCUUGAAGAACAUUCAGAUCUCAGGGGUAGUUUAUAAG
rnacentral:lncRNA from 1 species